AAUUUCAAAAACACUUUUAUUAUUCUCUCUAGACUUAGGAACUCCAGAUCUUUCUGCAUUUUUAUUGAGCUUUGCUGCUGGGUGUGAAAACCCUUACCUUUCUUCAAACCUUCACUCUCUCUAGCUCCUAACCUCCUUUUUUCUCUCACAAGUAAUAAAUAUGUCGCCUUACUGUGUUUUGCCCUUCCUCUCUCAUCCUGCUCUCACUUCUACUAUUUUCAAUAGUCCACUUUACUCGUUUUACAGAGUCUGAAGAAGAUGGCAAUAAAUACACACCGACAAAAAAUUUUGCAAAUCUGAGCAGAACCAACAGAGAUAAGAAGAUUUAUAGAAAGCAGAUGCAAGCGGUGGACCAGCGGUGAAAAGUAUAAAGCUAGUAGUGGUUCAGUGACAAAGAUGCAGAAACAACUGUCGUGAGAGCCGAUGGGUGCUCCUCUCUCUCUCUCUCUCUCUCUCUCUCUCUCUCUCUCUCUCUCUCUCUCUCUCUCUCUCUCUCUCUCUCUCUCUCUCUCUCUCUCUCUCUCUCUCUCCCGCUUGCUAUCGCCCAUACUAGCUAUCUUGCGCACCUUCGUCUCCACCUUUCCCUUCAUGACGACGCCUUUCUGACUAUGUGUGGUGUGCCAUCGUCGCGUUGGGUGGUUCUGUCAUUGUGGACAUCGUCGUUUUCUUCAGCUGGUUUUGUUCCCCAUCACGUAAGAUCGCCAGUGUUCAGAGCUCAUGUUCCGCAUUCAGGUAGGUUAGUUGCUAAAUCAGAAGCUCCAAUUGCAGUUCUGGAAUUGUUGUUGUGAUUUGAAUUUGUCACGGUUUUGUUGCUGAACCUGGAAUUUGAAAUUUGUAUAAUUAAAUUGUUAAUUUUGGAUUAGAAAUUAUUGACUGUAAUUUUGUUGAUGUUUUUUUUAUAUGAACCUGUUGUUGUCGAAGAGGAAUUUGCAUAACUGUUUAUUCUAUUUUUGCUUCAUUCUGCUGCUUUUGCUUCAUUCUGUUUCUAUUUUUUCUUAAUUUGAUUGUACUGAUUAUGAGUUCUGAUUAUAUAUAUUUUUUUUGUAAUUAUUUUGCUUGUAAUUAACUGAUUAUGUUAUAGUAAAAAUUCUAUUUUUGAUUAUGUUAGUCUGGAUUUGUGUUGAUUAAAGAAUAAAAAUAGGGACUUAACUGAUUAGGGAACAUGUUGAUAUUGGAAGGGUGGUGACAAAGGAGGAGGAUGAGGAGAUGGUAAUCGAAGUGGAGGGAGUGGUGAAAGGUAGUGAGGGUGUGAAAAUUAUAAGUGUAGGGUGUAAACCUCGCAAAUUUAGAAAAUAAUUAAAAGAAAAUUAAAUUUUAAUAAAAAAAUUAAAAAUGUAAAUCUAAUAUUAAAAUAGGAUAGAGCUAAUUAAAAUGAGAAUUUUGACACCAAUUUUAAAGAAAUCGGCUCAAAAUUAGGUCGAACGGACUAAACCAAUUGAACCGGACUCAAACCGGACCUGUGGGCCCCACCCACUCACUUAAUAAAGUGAGUUCAGAUCUUCUUUCUCCCUUCUUGCAUGCUAAACAUGCUGCAUGGCAGCCAUAGAAGAGGAGAAGAAGCAAACCCUCACCUAAACUUCAAUCCUUGAUAACUUUUGAUCCAGAGCUCUAAUCGCUGCACCGUUUGCGACCACGCGUCCGUGGCGUUGAGCUCUACAAAGUCCUGUAUCUUUCAUGGAUCAAAUUGAGUUGAGGAAUGAGCGAGCUUUGGGUUGAUUGAGGCACGUAUAAGGUGUGAAUUAAGUAGAUAUAUAUGAAUUGGAGUUGAAUUGUGGGCAUUUGAAAGCUUGGUGGUGAUUGAAGCUAAGCUUGCAGCUGGUUUCUCUAAACUUGAGGGGCUGCCUUGGACUAAAUAUAGUAAUCGGCCAAGAUGCAGGUCGAGCGGCUCCUCGGUAGGCGUCUGAAGGUUCUACGGCAAAGUGGUUUAUUUUGGGAUCUCCUUUUGUUAUUUUGAUGUAUAUAUAUGUAUAGUUUCUCCUCUUGUAUGUAAGAAUACUUUGUUUAUGUACCACUUAGAGGUUUUAUGGAGAACUAGGGUUUUGAACAUGUUCUUUUGGGUUAUUAUUAUGUAUAUAUAUGUACGUAUAUGUUCUCCGACCAGCCUUGGCUUCGCAGGAUGAGUCAGAAGCUAGUUAUGCUGUGUUCUUGGCCCUCUACUCGUAUCAUUUGUACAUAUAUGUUAUUGAAUUUUAGUUUUCUUCUCACGCAAGUAACCACG